rnacentral:rRNA from 1 species
UGGGGAAUAUUGCACAAUGGGCGCAAGCCUGAUGCAGCCAUGCCGCGUGUGUGAAGAAGGCCUUCGGGUUGUAAAGCACUUUCAGCGGGGAGGAAGGCGUUAAGGUUAAUAACCUUGGCGAUUGACGUUACCCGCAGAAGAAGCACCGGCUAACUCCGUGCCAGCAGCCGCGGUAAUACGGAGGGUGCAAGCGUUAAUCGGAAUUACUGGGCGUAAAGCGCACGCAGGCGGUCUGUCAAGUCGGAUGUGAAAUCCCCGGGCUCAACCUGGGAACUGCAUGCGAAACUGGCAGGCUAGAGUCUUGUAGAGGGGGGUAGAAUUCCAGGUGUAGCGGUGAAAUGCGGAGAGAUCUGGAGGAAUACCGGUGGCGAAGGCGGCCCCCUGGACAAAGACUGACGCUCAGGUGCGAAAGCGUGGGGAGCAAACAGG